GUGUUACACAAAUCAAAUGCUGCAGUGCAAAUGGAUACUUGAAGUCACCUCAACACUACUUUAUCUGUAACAGUUUCGGGAGAAUUGUGAAACGAGUCAGUCACUAUUAAAAAUAGAAAAAAGUUGAAGCCGCCGUGAAGUGCCGAGAAAGAAAAAAAAACCCGACCAGCCGCUAAGAAGACCCCAAAACCGACAGGGUCGGCCAACGAUGUUGAAGAUUGUGUAAUUUGUGUGGAGGCGAUGAAAAAUCCUUUCAAACUGACCUGCGGGCACUCCUUUUGUACGGAAUAUCUCCGAUGGGCGGUCAGAUUGAGAGCUGAAAAUGAAUAUGCAACCAUCUCGGUGAGAGCUGAAAAUGUAACUUGAAGCGUCUGUCCAUUGUGCCGUGCUAUACCCCGUGCUACACCCCGCUUCAUUUUGACGUUGAGCAACACUUUUAUAUACACACUUUUUAUAUUCAACACUUCGUAGCUUCGAGAAAAUUCUCAGAACAGCUGGCAAGUAAAUAGUUCGUUUUGCCGUGAUCUACUAAAAAAUAUGGCGACUAAUAAGAAGGACAAGCCAGCUGAAGCUGAGGAAGAAACUAAGACGGGCAGCGCUGAAGACUUUUGCUCGAUUUGCUAUGGUCCGAAAGUGGAUCCCUUUGCAUUGCCCUGCAAGCACACGUUCUGUAAUACUUGCAUAGAAUAUCUGGUUAAACAGAGGUCUUACUAUUUGGGUGAAAUUAUUCCUGAUCCAGUCAUGCGUUGUCCAGUGUGCCGCGAAAGGUUUCGCUCAAAAAAAGCUGUUGCCACUUCCCCCCAGCCAUAGUUCUGAACACAUAUACUCACAAAAGCCAAAUAAAUUUUGAUUAAUAAUUAUAA